GUUUGCGGAGGCCGAAGCACAGCGAGCACUGAUCCUGCUGCGCUGCCUGGGCGCCCCCUCCCUGCUUGGGAUUGGGAUUCUGUCCUCGUGCUGAGGGCUUGAAAAGCAGGAGUCUGGGCUCAGGAAUUUUCCAGCUAACCCAGCAGCCUGCAAAGGGGGCCCCUUACCAACACUGGUUUGGCCCCGUUCUGCACCAGCUCCGAUGUGCUGCCGCUGCUGGACUUUGCUUGGCACAAUGCAAUGCAGAGGAUCAGGUCUGCCAGGAGCAGGGCUCGCCUCUUGUUGGAGCAGUCAGGAAUGUGGACUCAAGAUGAAAUGAUGACCAUUCCCCAUCACAGCAGAACACUUCUCUGACUUUGCAGACUGUGUUUACAACCAGAAUGGUAAGAUAGAGAAUACUGAUGGCAAUUCUGCCAUUUAAACCCUACCAAUUCAUCUCACCUUUGCCUAACUCCCCCUUGUCAAGUCUUUUAAGUUUCCAGAGCAGUGAACAGCAUCAGUACAGAGAAGUUAAAGCCUGUAACCCAAGUGAUACAACCUGACUUCACAUCCUGUAACUAUUGGUGUUAAAGUUCUUGGGAAUGUCCACGUUAGUUUCUUGUUUGCUUUCAAAGGUGAUGUCAGUAAUAAGCAAAGUUGCAUCAUUCUUCUUCACGUCCGGAUACUUGCUAGCACCUGUACAAACUCAGGUGUUGAAGUAGGUGCAUGGAAGGAGUUGAUCAGUAUUUUUUUUCUACCAUGUCCCACUCCUUUUAGAAAGUUUGCCAAGCCAAGAAGAAUAGUUUAAUAUUUACCUAAGAACCAAACCUGACAAACCAGAUUGCUCCAUACAAGUAGCUGCGGUAAUAAGCUCCAGUAGCUAAAUGUGUAAGAACAUCAAACUUCAAAUUUCAAAGCUCCUUGAAGAAAAGAGUUCUAGAUUUCUCCAGAAGAAUAGGUGUGUAUUCCUUCGUCAAGCUAAUAUAAAUCACAGUAAGCACCAGGCAAUAGUUACCUUCUUUCUGCCUGCCUUAUUGUGUACAGGAAUUCAUGUGAAAUGAAAUGAACCGGCAGGUUAUUCAGGUGGUCUUGGAUCUAAAACCUGAGCUCAGGCCACAAGAUCAUGUGUACGGAAACAGUUCUUUGCGUUAUGACCAACAAGUUAAAACUUGCUUAGGAUAGGAGACUGAAUGCCACAAAAGAUACUGGGUCAAUUUCUCACUUUCCUUAUGACAUUAUUUUCAUAUCGAUAACUUAUUUCUCUUUGCAAACACGUAAGGAGCUGAAUUGUGGUUAAAAAAGCUUCAUUUUGAAUAAGCUGCAAAAAGUACUGGCGUAUGGCACAGCAGACUGAAAGAUUUAUUCUCUUUACCAUAUGCUUGUGACAGCGAUGAAAAUUUGUUUCCAAUUAUUCUUGGUAAUAAACCUUUCUCUUGCUGCUCAAAAGGUCCAUCACUCUAAAUGGAAGCACCAUAAAAGUGCUAGCAAAACUGCCAUAUUAACAGAAUCGUAGUUUUCGGUGUUAAGUCAUAGCAACAAAAAGGGCGUAUGCAAAAUUGCUCUGUGUAGAUGUGUUUGCAGUUACUCAUUACAUGAUAGAACGAAAGUCUGAGCUUGAAUUCCAGUUCCAGACCCAGAGCAGAAUGAAUAGCAUGAGCUGACUGCUAGAACUGUUGGUGCUGUCACUGCUUGCUGUGUGACAGUAGCAAAAAGCUUUAGCUAGGAUCAAUAUACCGUAAUAAUCUGUACAGUCACAGAGGGAAGUUGGUGCCGUGCUUAGAAGAACUUUGUCUCUAUUUACCUUUCUGUUUAUUGACAUUAUUCUAUGUCAAAGUUUAGUCAAAUCAAUAUUAGUCAUUGUGAAAAGUCCACAAAUGAGAGCAGUGCAGAUGCAGCUGUGUUCACUCAGCCUCUUUGUGCACGCUGCUCCAAAAUUGCAGGUUUUCAGAAGUGCAAUCAAAGGUAGUUUUUAUCUGCCUGGGCGUUACUGUGUUUUUAAUGGUGAAUUAGGUGAAGAAGGAAACACAAGAGAAAACAUUGUUUUAGUAACGUGUUAUAUACAAAAAUAGAAUGUAGGAAUAUACUUAGUUUAGGACAAAGUGACAAUUUCUGUGAACACACUGGAGGAAUUUAAAUGCCUAACACAAAAUAGCUUGUGUGUUUGAAGGACUUUUGUUACCCUGUUUGAUAAUGACCUUCAUGGAAGCUGGGGGGAAGGUUAAAAGCUUAUAGAGUAAAAUUGGGUGAGUAUGAGAAGGCAAAGUUGCGUGCCUAAAUUGGGAGUUGUAGCCACAGAUGCAGUCUCAGAAAACAUUUCCCAAAUUAGUAAUGGAAACACUAAGUAGCCUCAUUAUUAUCUGACAAGUGGUUCAUAAAACGUGGCUGAAGUAUUUGGUUUAAUGAUACACAAAGCCAGAAAAAGAAAGUGCUGUCUAAAAUAGAAUACAGUGUAUAGAGGAAAUUGCAGUAACAAAUUUAGAAGGGAUAACUGGUAUAACCACAGAGGUGGUAGGAACAAGAAUUGAGCGUUUAUACAGAGCUGACCAUGGGAGAUGAAAGGAAAUUAGCACUGUUCUGCUAUUUCAGUAGGAAAACAGAAUGCAAAUGGUCUGUCACUUUGAACACGAACAUGAAAUUUGUCUGAUGGGUGUAGUGACUGGUGAGAGUGACUGUACUUACAUUCUCCUACAUGCAGCUCACUAGAAGCCAAGAAAGGAGUAGAAAUGGAUCCUUGUGUAAGUCUUUCUGGAGCUGCUUUUGGCCUUGGUGGCCAGGAAGCAAAAGAGCAGCACUGACUAUAUUUAAUGAGGAUAUUAGACUUCCAGUAACUUUUUGUUUAUACUUAAAAGCAGCACAGUAAUUGACCGUUAAAAACAUAUCUAUCUGUAAAAGGUACAGGAAUAAAUAUAUUUUUAAAGAUGAAUAAUCUAUUAUAUAGAUAGUCUGGAUGCUGGAGAAAAUCAGAUAAGCAUGCAGGUCAGGUCUUGUUCAGUUAUAACUUUAAACCAUUCUGGCUAGAACCACACUAUCCUUACGAAGUGUGGUUAUGUCUUGAAUGUUUGAUCUCUCUCUUUCCAUUUCACGUGGUUGUCACGAGUGAUCGUACUUUAUAUGCUUUUCUAGGAAUGUGUUCUGGGCAGAAACAACAGAAAAGCUGGGAGUUGAAUAUCGAACUUCAUGUCUUUAUCCUUGCUGUGAAGACAGACCUUCCACAUUGAGUGAAAAUGCCUGCGUAAGUAGCAGUGCUUUUGCUGUAGUGUACUUUUAUCUAGUUUGUGCCUCAUCGUGGUUGCCUUUCCCUUCUCCUCAUUGUUGGUAUUUCUCCAAGGAGCACAGGCAGCACCUGGGUUCUGUGCAUGCCAGCACCUUUGCAUGCAGUUAUGCAUGCACAGUUCCACUGAGAGCAAGAGGAUUAGCUUUUGCUUUGCAAGAAUCUGAAUGGAAAUGAAGUUGCAGAACAGGCUCCCUGCACCCCAUAUUUUCAACAGACCAGAACUUCAGUUCUGCUUGUGGAGAAAAAUCAAAAGGCCUUUUGUGCUCUUCCAGUGAGGAUCCAAUACCUGCAUGUUUGCCCCACCAAUACUUCCUUGGCUGGAGGCUCCCUUAAUCACCAUGUGGGCCACCAACACUGCUUUUUGCAGUCUGCCAAUGCUGUAUCACCACAGUCUGUAAGGCAGCAGAUUUGUGCAGUUCUGCCAUGCAAACUGUCUCCACCUAUCCUACGCAGAGAGGUCUGCGUUUCUCUGUAUUUGCAAAGAAAUACAUCUCUCAGCUCAAAAUCAUUUUCCUUGGGGACAUUAGGGAAUGAUUCUUUCCAGCUGACCAGAUACUGGCUUUUCCAGGGCUGCAAUUCAGGAGACUGCUGCUGCAGUCCAAUCGCAUGAUUUUCAAUGCCAGACUAGCUCCCUAUAGGGCUUCCCCAAAUGUUUCAGGUAUUGCUGACUUAAUUGCUGUGAUACCUACUCACAUUGC
ensembl:lncRNA